UCUCAAAAUUUGCCACCCACUCCUGCAAUAUCAAGAAAAAGUAAGCUGCAUAAUUGCCACUUCCACGUCCUACAAAAGGGAAAUUGAAGACCCUUCAAGUUAAACACACAAAAUUAAGUAAGUGAGGUGAAUGUGAAAUUCAAAAUCAGAUUAAAGUGACAGACAAAAGGCAGCCAAAAAGUCAUGUCACCUUUUGAAAACCACACAAGGAAUAUAUAAGAACAAUACCUAGUACAUCCAAUGUGAUUCUUUUUGAAUGAGUUCCCACUACACAAAUAGAGUCAUGCAUCACUUGCCCAUGAAAGGGAGAUCAUGGGAUGACCCUCUUAACCCAACACACACUAUACAAACCCCAACAAUUACCAAUUUGACCAAGCCAACCCAUACUGUUCCAGAAGCCAUGCCAUGUACAAAUAGAAGAAAAAGCUUAAACACACAGGUCGUACAUCACAUCUCACCCAAAAGUUAAUAUUAAUACCUAAGUCAUGAGCUAAUACCAUAUAUAUAAACCAUUCAUGGUACUAACUACUGGAAGAUCUCAGAAUUAAUCGUACAGAUAAAGAAUCAUAUCCGAUUACUGGAUAAAAAAAUUAUUAUUUAAAAAAAUAUCUGCGCUACAACACAUCGGAGAACAAAUGAAGCUUUGCAGGAAAAUGAAAGGCAUCAACCAUUUAUUUUUGCAAUCAUCAGCUACAUGUGGGAAUCAAAAGAGAAUUCACUAAAUGAUAUAACAAAUACCAUACCUUGUUAUUGAUUGAUUCUCUUA
rnacentral:misc_RNA from 1 species